UUCUCAGAAUUUUGGGAUCGGUUAGGGUCAGGAAGGAAUUUCAUUGAAGAGGGACGAUUGUUUGUUAAAUGGGUGGACUCAAGGUUGAGGGUUGUCUGAAUUAGGGCUUGCUUCAAGUCUUUCAUCUUGCUCCUGUGUCAAUUUCAUCAGAAACAUGGCCAUAAUGAGGAAUGGGCAUGGCUAUGGGUACUGGAACUUACAUGCACAUUUCUCAAUUUCCUGCAAUUAUAUCAGAAAGUA